CAAUUCUGCCUUUUGUGCUGAUGUCCCUUUUGACAGUCGCUGUGCCUCUAUCACCUUGUCUAUAGUUGUUACCGCAUAUCCUGCAUAGCGAAUUCCUUCUUUCACAUAGCUACUACCAUCCGUAUAAUACUGUACAUCCGGGUCCUGAAUGGGAAAGUCAUGAAGGUCCAGUCGGCUUGAAAACACCUCAUCCAUUAUCUCCAAACAAUCAUGUUGACUUUCAGUAGGUUGUGGUAAAAGGGUAGCUGUAUUCAGG